rnacentral:rRNA from 1 species
CCCAGACUCCUACGGGAGGCAGCAGUGGGGGAUAUUGCACAAUGGGGGGAACCCUGAUGCAGCGACGCCGCGUGGGUGAAGGAGCGUUUCGGCGCGUAAAGCCCUCUCGGCAGGGAAGAAGGAGGACGGUACCUGACUAAGAAGCCCCGGCUAACUACGUGCCAGCAGCCGCGGUAAUACGUAGGGGGCAAGCGUUAUCCGGAUUUACUGGGUGUAAAGGGGGCGCAGACGGCAGCGCAAGCCAGGAGUGAAAGCCCGGGGCCCAACCCCGGGACUGCUCUUGGAACUGCGCGGCUGGAGUGCAGGAGGGGCAGGCGGAAUUCCUGGUGUAGCGGUGAAAUGCGUAGAUAUCAGGAGGAACACCGGUGGCGAAGGCGGCCUGCUGGACUGCGACUGACGUUGAGGCCCGAAAGCGUGGGGAGCAAACAGGAUUAGAUACCCUAGUAAC